AGUCGACGAGGUGCUUUGCACCUAGUGGCGAACGGGUGAGUAACACGUAUCUAACCUACCUUUUAGUGGGGGAUAACAGUUGGAAACGACUGCUAAUACCGCAUACGACACCAUUAUGGCAUCAGAAGGUGUUAAAAGGCCCGUUUGGGUCGCUAGAAGAUGGGGAUGCGGCGUAUUAGCUAGUAGGUGGGGUAAUUGCCCACCUAGGCAAUGAUACGUAGCCGAACUGAGAGGUUGAUCGGCCACAUUGGGACUGAGAUACGGCCCAGACUCCUACGGGAGGCAGCAGUAGGGAAUUUUUCACAAUGGACGAAAGUCUGAUGAAGCAAUGCCGCGUGAGUGAUGACGGUCUUCGGAUUGUAAAGCUCUGUUGUAAGGGAAGAAUAGGUAAAAGAGGAAAUGCUUUUAUUUUGACGGUACCUUACCAGAAAGCCACGGCUAACUAUGUGCCAGCAGCCGCGGUAAUACAUAGGUGGCAAGCGUUAUCCGGAUUUAUUGGGCGUACAGGGUGCGUAGGCGGUUCGAUAAGUUUGAGGUUAAAUCCCGGGGCUCAACCCCGGUUCGCCUUGAAAACUGUCUUACUAGAAUACAGGAGAGGUAGAUGGAAUUCCAUGUGUAGCGGUGAAAUGCGUAGAUAUAUGGAGGAACACCAGU
rnacentral:rRNA from 1 species